rnacentral:misc_RNA from 1 species
ACCAGACGCUCGCGUCCGUGGCCCUCAUCGUCUGGACCUCCCCUUCCACCACCGCCUCCUCCCCCGCCCCCUCCUCGUCUGCGUCCGUCCCCAGUCUCCGGCGGGCGAACCCGGAGCCGACGCUGGUGACGAAGCGCGCCGCCAUGAGCGCGGCGAAGCUGGUGCCGAGCGACAUGGCGAGCGCGCCGGCCAUGAGGAAGGCGUUGGCGAGCACGAGGGUGCGGCGGCGGCCCAGGUGGUCGGCCACCCAGCCGGCGGCGAGGAUGGACGCGAGCAUGAACACGUUCAUGGACCCCGCCAGCACCUCGACCUCGCCGUCGGGCACGUAUAUGGAUCGGUCGGAAGCAUGAGUUUAGCACAUCGAUCUCUCUUCGUGAUUAAUUGGAUGCAUGGUGGACGGUUUCUACAGGAAGCAAUCUCUCUAUUGGUGUUGUUCGACCAUACAAUGCUCAAGUUAGAGCUAUCCAGGAAAAAGUUGGGAAGACAUGCAGAGAAUGAUUAUCAUGAGUACUUCAAGCACUCAUUUGAGGAAGACAUCGUUGCACAAGUGCCUCAAGGAGUGGAAU